GAGAAGGGACCUGGAGUCAGUGGCUGCUUUGUGAAGAAGAGUCAGUGCUCUGAGGAGAUGCCCAUGAGAAACACCAAGAAGGUUAAAGAUCGUAAUUUGUGUGCAUCCUCACAGUCCUCAGUCUUCAAAGGACUCCCUCCUGAGAAGUGGAAGAACAUUUUCUCACUAACUUGCAGCUGAAUAUGAACUAAGGCACCUAAGGUGGAACUGAUUAGGAAAAACUUCAUUAAAUAUUUGUAAGGAAUAUAUUCUAUUAGCUGUGUAAUAAAGAGAGAUGAAACAGUAGAAGAGACCUUAACUACAGCAAUAUAUUAGAUAAGAGACCUUAACUACAGCAAUAUAUUAGAUAAACAUUGGGAAGGUAAUCAGUGUACUGGGAAGGGAAAGAAGCACAAGAGACAAGUAAUUGCAAAACUUAAGUUGUCUUAAC